CCUCCCAAGCCUGAAACCCCGGAGAGACAAUGUCACGAUGCUGGGACAGUGGUCCUCCUCCACCUAGCUUCCUGUGGAACUAAUGAAUCACAUUGACGAAGCAUUACUAGAACUGACAUCUCUCUCUUUUUUGUCACGUCGGUGGUGCUAGAGAAGCAAAUGCAGUCUCUCUCCCAACCCAACCCCGGGAAUCGUGUCUAUUGAUUUACCUACCACAACUGGGAAGAAUAUCCAAUUACUCCCCCCUUUUAACUCUCUCCACACCUGGUUAGUGACGCGAUCCUCCCUACUGCUAUACGAGUGUCCGUCCCCCCGCUCCUUUUCUCCUGAAUGGGUGCGCAAAGGAGGAAGCUCCUGUCCAUCUCGUCAAGUCUCCAUCUUACACACACACACAGGCACACCUGGCACCUCCCCGCUCCUCCCAUUGGCAAGGCCUCCUUCCCUGAGCCAACCCGAGCGGAGGCUCCCUCCCUCAGCUUCCCCCCGACGGCGCAGCGCGCUCACCUGUCCGGGGCGCCGACGACAGGAUGGCGUGCACGCCGAACUUGAGGAAGGGCGCGUCGCUGGCGGGCGAGGCGGAGGCGGGCGCCGAGCAGCCCCGUCGCGCAGCGCCGUCGGAGUUGGCCGGCUCGGCCGACGAGGGUCCUGGCGGGCCCGUCCGGGAGGGGCUGGCGCCCGACAGAGGCGGUGGGGACAGGCUGGCCGGCGGCGGAACGCCGCCGCCGCGAGGCAGAAAGAAGGGAUCUCGGAUAAAACAGCAGAGACGAGACUUGGCAAAGGAACCUGGAGGCGAGAGUUACAUGCUUCCACCCCUUCCAUUCAGACUGGCCAACCCUGAACGACCAUGUUCUCAAAUACACAGACGAAGGAUGUGAUCAGGUCAAAACUUUUAAGCCACGCAAAGCAAUCAAGCAGAGAUUAAGCAUCGUCCAAGCCUUCCCCCUGCAAACAGCUGAGCAGUCAUGACUGUGGUCCACAAGUAGACGGAGCAUAGGGCUUCAAGCUCAUCAGCUUCAUUGGGAGUCCAUCACCUAGUCCUGCUCUUCCAGCUUCAGUUUCUAAUGUGUCAGAUGAGCACAUCAACAGCCUAUGCCAGCCUUCCCCAACCUGAUGCUCUCUAGAUGUUUAGGACUACAGCUCCAUCAGCACUGAAGAACUUGAUCACACAGUAAGUUACACAGAAGUAAGAAGCAAGAUUUAAUCCUUCUGUAUGAUACAUACUAACACAAGAACAAGCAUAAUCUUGAAUGCUAAGUUUUAGGAAGCUCUUGCAAUCCUUGCUGUGAUUUCCUGCACCACAUUUACAAGGUCAAUCAGUGAUUACAGUAACUGAAGUCUGGACUAGAAGAACAUAAUAAAUGCUUGCCAAAGGAUCAUCUAGUCCAGCACUCAAUAUCACCCUUACCUUUGUUGCACAGCAUUGAUACAAUUCACUCUAAUACCAGUUGAGACCCAGUAUAUGUCAGGUAUAUCUACCAUCUCUGGAUACUGGUUAAAUCCUAAUGAGAGUGAAGCUGUUCUAGGGUGGACAAUCUACACAUGGAAUUAUGUUAAUGCUGAGACUGUAAAUGCUAUUAAAACAUUCAUAAGCUACUUUGUACUAUCUAAGCCAUGUUGAGAACAUACUGUUGAAAAGUGGUAUACAGAUAUUCUAGAAAUAUAUAAAUACAUAAUUUCUCAAGCUUUUCUUCGUAAUAAUGGUGCUUCAACCCAGCUGAUCACUAAUAACCAUCUUCAGUUUCCCUUCAUUCAAUAAUAUCCUAGACAACCAAACCAGAAGGCCCGUAUAGUUAAAGCUAUGGUUUUCCCAGUAGUGAUGUAUGGAAGUGAGAGCUGGACCAUAAAGA